rnacentral:rRNA from 1 species
UACGAAGGGGGCUAGCGUUGUUCGGAAUCACUGGGCGUAAAGCGCACGUAGGCGGAUUGUUAAGUCAGGGGUGAAAUCCUGGAGCUCAACUCCAGAACUGCCUUUGAUACUGGCGAUCUCGAGUCCGGGAGAGGUGAGUGGAACUGCGAGUGUAGAGGUGAAAUUCUUAGAUAUUCGCAAGAACACCAGUGGCGAAGGCGGCUCACUGGCCCGGUACUGACGCUGAGGUGCGAAAGCGUGGGUAGCAAACAGG